rnacentral:rRNA from 1 species
CCUACGGGAGGCAGCAGUGGGGAAUAUUGCACAAUGGGGGAAACCCUGAUGCAGCGACGCCGCGUGAGUGAAGAAGUAUUUCGGUAUGUAAAGCUCUAUCAGCAGGGAAGAAGAAAGACGGUACCUGACUAAGAAGCCCCGGCUAACUACGUGCCAGCAGCCGCGGUAAUACGUAGGGGGCAAGCGUUAUCCGGAUUUACUGGGUGGAAAGGGAGCGUAGACGGCUGUGCAAGUCUGAAGUGAAAGCCCAGGGCUCAACCCUGGGACUGCUUUGGAAACUGUGGAGCUAGAGUGCUGGAGAGGUAAGUGGAAUUCCUAGUGUAGCGGUGAAAUGCGUAGAGAUUAGGAGGAACACCAGUGGCGAAGGCGGCUUACUGGACAGUAACUGACGUUGAGGCUCGAAAGCGUGGGGAGCAAACAGGAUUAGAUACCCCAGUAGUC